UUUUUUCCCUGUUUUAGCUUCCUAACUAUCUUAGCAGAGCAAGAGAAGUAGCAGGAGAGAGAGCCUGCAGCUAUGAGAACAAACAGCUGGCAGCGAUUGGGAUUUUUCUGUUAGUGGUCACGAGUGGAGGGACACCAUAGUUAGGCACUAGAACUGAAGUAUUAGUGCUGACUGGUCUAGGUGGACUAGGGCUCUCUGCAGCAUCAGAUCUUUAUGCAGUAUAGAGUUGGGUUAGCUCAAGUUAGGCCUCAGACUUGGAUUUUGUAGAAAAACUAGCUUUACAAAUCAGAUUUUUUUUUAUUUUGAAAUUUUCAGAUGAGUUUUUGAAUAUACUUAUAAAAUAAGUCUAAUAGUAAUAAUCCAAAAAAAUUAGUAACCGUAACAGAAUUAAAAAACAACAACACUUAAUCUUACAGUGUUUCUUUUGGAGUGGUGUGAAAUAGGUUCCCCCUUCUGCCUAUGAUAAGAGUUCUGUAAAGGUGAUUUGUGGCAACUUUUAAAAACUGGGAUUGUCCUUUUUUGUUGCUCUAUGGUAUAUAAAGGCAAUCUGAAUAUUGGGUAUUUCCCACCCUGGUUUGUGCCUUAUGUUAAAAAUAUCAGCAAUGUUAAGCCUGAUUAUUCUCUGCUAUUCAUGGAGGACCUGUUAGAUGUCUUGGAGUACAUUUAUUAUGAUCUUUGAUACCUUAAUUGAAAGGGCACAGGUGCUGAAUAUUUUUGAGAAAUUAAUUUUUUGUUAAAUGUUAAUUAGCCACUGCUGUUAAAUGCUGCACAAAACAGUUGUAGACACUGACUAAUAAACCCUCAUAAUUACAUAUGUAAAGAGGUUUUACAGGUUGUCAAACCCGUGAUGGCAACUAAUCGUGAACAGGAGCCAGUGUCCCUCUGCUUUGGCUUCAAUGGUCUGGGUUAUUUGCUGCUAGCUGGUGGUGCCUCCAGGGAGUCAGGAACCCUACGCUACUGACCUUGUGGUUUCAACUGUUCCUGUCUCUGUACUUACCCAUAUGACUUGCCUGAUACCUUGUAGAUCUGCUCUUCUAACACCUCUGUAAUGGCUGAAUCAGUGUACAUAUUAUUUAUAAGGGAAGUACAAAGGAAGCAUAUAAAGGGAAGGGGAAGAUGGAUUUGGGGUGGGUAUAUCAGUAAUAUCAUACAGUACACAAGUAACACAGCUCCAGGGUGGAUUUCCUUGGAUUCAUGAGUCCGGUUUAUUCCACGCUAAUGGGCUCUGUAACAUGGAGGUGCCCACAUAUUUGAGUAGUUGCAAGUCUGAAACUGUCUGAGUAUGGUGAGGUGCUCAGGGUGCUAAUUUGCUUGGGGGACUAACCUCUGCAGUAGCAAUAGGUGGUGGUCUCAGUGGAAAAAGGCCCAACAGGGUAGGGGGCCUUCUCGGUGUUUCCAACACCAGUUGCUCUCUUCCAGAGUAGUUCAGCUAACCACUUUCUGGACAAAAUAGGCAAACCCCAGGCAGGGAGAGACUGCCAGGAGAUCAGCUGAACUCCCCUCAGGCAGGGCUGUCCUCUCAUCCCCCAUCCAGUUGGCUUCCAUCCCACAGGGUUCACCUUAUCACAAUGCUCAACACCCUUGUCAAGGUGAACACACCCCAUCUCUCCACACCCCAUGUGUCAACUACCUGGCCACAAGCUUGGCUUCCUUUUUUGUCAGACCCAUUAACCCAAGUUAUGCUUACUUUGUGCUGUUUUGUGUCUUGUGGUUCUAUUGUUUCCCAGUCACCAUGAUCUUCUAGGACAAACAUGAUUUGCAUUUCUAAAGUAGAUAAGCCAAAUGAAAAGUUGUGUCACAAUUUUUGAAUUGCAUGAUGUGCCUUCUAGCGGCUGGCCUAUAGAAAGGAAAGGAAACUUGCUACUGUUAAAAUCUAAUAGAUUUUUGGCAUAGCUUUUGGAGCCAGCUGACCAGGCUGUAGUUCCAGUUCCCUGUGCAUGUGAUCUCCCCUCCCCUCCAACAUAGAAGAUAUGUAUCUGAAGACAUAUAAUCAGUUUAGUAGUGAUAUCACAAAGGAAAUUAUGGUUGUGCCAACUUUUGCCUUUAUUUGUGUGUGCCUGUGAUAGAGGUAGCUUCUCAAUUAUGUUCAAAGUAGACUUCAGUCAGUCUACACAGGCACUAUUCACACUAGAGAAACUUGGCAUGCUAACCCUUGUGUGUGCCUAAACUUUUGCUCUUAGCACACGCAUUCUUCUAGUGAUGCACAAGCUUUACAACCUCUUUUUGGAUUACAUUUGAUUUGACAUACCGGCCUGGACAGGGAUCACAAAACUCAGUCAUAAGUGAUACUUAAGAAUGACUGGGUUCCUGAAGGGACAGAAUGCCCCGCAUCAGCUGUUAUUGCCUCAGUUUGUGUUAGAAACUUGCCCCUUCUGUAGUGAGUUGGAGAGAAUCCUCACAUAUCACUUGUACCCUGCUGGAGGUGCUUCUGUAUAGCACCAAAGUGCCAUGUGGAAAAGGAGAGGAUGGGCUCAGUUAACGGGCAGAGAAACAGGUCAAAGAACUGGGCUAUGAGACACCACACACAAUGAGAAUUUUCAGGAUCUCCUUUCAAGAACCCUGGAUCUUCAGUCCCUGUCCAAGUUGAUUUGAGUGAAGGAGGAAACAGGAUGAAAGGUCCUCUGUCUGUGCUACUCAGACAGGAUUGGUGUCCCAAAGUAUUCAUAGGGUCAAGUUAACUGGAUUCACAGUGUUGGAAAGGCGUAUAAAUCUCUG